AAUAUUGCACAAUGGGCGCAAGCCUGAUGCAGCAACUCCGCGUGCGCGACGAAGGCCUUCGGUUCGUAAAGCGCUUUUCGGGGAGAUGAUCACGUACAGUAGCGCCGGAAGAAGGAUCGGCUAACUACGUGCCACCAUCCGCGGUAAAACGUAGGAUCCGAGCGUUAUCAGAAUUCACUGGGCGUAAAGCGCAUGCAGUCGGCCGAACAAGUUGGAUGUGGAAUCUCCCGGCUCAACUGGGAGGGGACGUUCAAAACUGUGCGGUACGAGGGCAGUAGAGGAAGGUAGAAUUCCCGGUGUAGUGGUGAAAUGCGUAGAUAUCGGGAGGAAUACCCGUGGCGAAGGCGACCUUCUGGACCGUUUCUGACGCUCAGAUGCGAAAGCUAGGGGAGCGAACGGG
rnacentral:rRNA from 1 species